AAAACAUUCGAGUCAUUUGGCCCAAAAGGUUUAUUUUAAAGAUGAAGAGAUGAAGUCACUUGUUCAAGACUGCACAGCUGGUUAUCAGAGGACUUGAGGGCAGAACUCAUGUCACUCCUCACUCAUAGUUCCAGGUUCUUAGAAACAAGCACUUUUCAGAAAGUGCUCAGGCCCUCACCCCAAACCUCACUGCUCCUGGAUAACCCUGCACGUGUCGAAGCUGUAGAUGUCUAAGAAAUCAAGGGCACUGGCUUUUCUGCAUUCUCCAGGGAGAAAGUUCCAAGGCACUGGGGAGCCAGGGCAGCGGGGUUUUCAAAGGCCUGCAGCGGGAGCCCUGCUCACAGGGAUGCCAUCCAGAUGUCCUCAUGUCCCCUCUGCACAUGAAAGCCUCACACUGCUCCCGUCCCCUCCAGUCCCCCCUGCCUCCCACAGCAGCAGAACUGCACGAGGCUUCCCCCAGCCCCGGGGCACACAUUCAAAACACCUAGGAACGCCGCUGGGAACUCCCGCCUGAAAGGACAGGCCGCCGGCUGCAGGGCGCUGAGAUGGAUGCAGGGACCUGCCCUUUUCCUCCGUCCGCUGGUUGCCUCCACUGGUCAUUUGCUGUGGCAGGGCAGAAGAAAACAACGAAAUCGCAGGGCACACAGAAGUCAAACUGACACAUAACCACACUCAGAGGAGAGGACCCAACUGCUAAGCAGCUUGAAUGGGAAAGUGAAGGAUCGCGGUGUCACCUUUAGGAUCCCUCGCCUGAAGUCAGGACUCACCUGAGCAGAAUGAUGGCUUCUCAGUGAAUCCCACUUCCCACUUGCAUUUCCAGAGACAAGUCUGGUUCCUCUAGAUUCACACACACAUAAAGAAAUAGUUAUCCUUCUCCUUGCCCCUGAUCUCCCACUGAACAAUGCCUGGGAUAUGUGGGUUUUGGAGUGUCUAUCAGGAAGGAUGUGUGGAGGAUUUCUCGACCCCUAUUAUUUUCCUUUCUGUGUACAAGGCAUGUGUCGGUUGCUACCUGAGCAGAGGUGGCAGCUCCAUAUAGGCUGGCUAAGAGAAGAAAACUGUUCUCACUCAGAUUCUAUAAAUUACUCGCAUUCUCACUUUAAUAUCAAGUAUGAUAUAUAUUAGAGUGCAUGGUUUUGGCUAGAAUCAAUUUGGAAGGCUGUCAAAUAAAACACAAAAUGGGAAAAUAAAUCCAAAGGAAAAUUGAUGACAUGAUUUUACUCCCAUUACAUUCCACUUAACAAAUGCAUAUGUUUUACAAUAUCUUUAAUAAUAAUUAUUAAACAUAGUAAAAUACUUCCAAACUUGGCUCAUUGCAUAAUUGUACUUCGAGUGAAAAAAAAAUUAUCUGAAGUCUUGUCAAUAUGCCACUUCCUCCUCCCCCAGCUUUUAACAGAAGCAGCCUCCAGUGGAAUAAUCCAAGCUGUGUUCAAGAAGUUGGCAAGUAGGUCCAAUUAAAUGUGGUUUUACUGUAUUCUGGCGUUUGCAUAUCUAGUUUGCCAAGAAGUAAUCUUUCACAAAAAAAAAAAAAAGAAAGAAAGAAAAAGAAAAAGAAAAAAAAUCUGUACUGGCCCAGACACAGCCUGGAUGGUGCAAUGCUUCACAUAACUUUACCCCAUGACUAAGAUAAUCGUUUUUUCUUAAAUAGCUGUGGAAAACGUAUCAUACAUCCAUCAUACUCCUAUAUGAAUCACAGAACACCAUCCUUUAUGGAGCUUCUUACAUUUAUGCAUGACAAACUGAAAUUCAUCUUCAUAGCUCUGUUUAUUUUAAUUAUUAAACUCAAAAGGGGUUAGCUUUUAGCCACCUGAACUUGAUGUAUUUAUUCAGGUGUACUCCAGUUGGAUUAUCUGAACGAGGCUAUAAAUGAUCCUAUUGACUAUUAAAGACCGACCUGUCAAAGCUGCAGUCAUACACAUUCACAACCCUGGCUACCUGAAACUCAGAGGAUAAAAUGCUUCUCUAAGCUUUGCAAAUGAAAUCCCAGGCAGUUCUUUCCUGAUGUUUUACACACCCUUGAUCCCUUAAGGAGGAGCUGACUCGCGUAGCCCCUUCCAGCUAACCACGGCUCUACAUGAACGAUCAGCCGUAUCCAAAGUCCAGAUGGAAAGCUGUCAACAAAGAGACUCCUUCCACUCUGCCUACUACAUGAUUCAUCCCUGGCGUGAAGACAGGCCCGGAGAUGGCCCCACCACCCCGACUCCCAUAGGUGAGCCAGGAGAGAAGCACAGGUGCCCACUCCCCAAGUCAGCAGGGAGGAAUCAGGUCAGAAAGUGCUGGAAAACACACAACCUGGCCUUUGUUAGAAACCAUCAUGAGCUCAUUAAAAACACAUGCAGAAAUGGUUAAACAAAAUUCUCUAAAUCUUUUACAAAAUUGCCAGUCUAUUAGAAGGACUGAGCUCACAGCAAACUCUCCCUUCCAAUGUGUGCAAUGGAGCAGCUAAUGUCCUUUGGACUCUUGUCUAUGGCAUCAAGCAGAGGGAAGCUUGGGGCGGGGGGUUGUUUGUUUUUGGUUCUUGUUGUUGUUUUUUAACUUUUUUUAGAGACCAAACUGUGAAAUAUAUCAACCAAAAGAAUUAUUUCACUAAACAUGAAUUAUUAUAGUCAUUGCCUUAAAAAACUUACAAAAAUUACAAAGUAAAAACGGAGAUUUGGGUCAUUAUAGCAAGGGGAGAAAGAAGGAAAAAAAUAGAUGACUGUGGCUUGAAUGCUUUUGUGAGGUGGCAUUGCAUCAAAGAGCAAAGUGGACACGCUGAAUGGGAAUUCUGAAGGCAUCCAAUACGCGGCCCUGUUACGUGAAAAAGUUGGAUCGUAAGUUUGACCCGUGCAAUAUUUACCCAAAGUUUUCUUGUAAGCAGCAUUGCACAUAGCAGCAUUGCAUUCCAUUGCACUGUGGCCUUUCACCAGGUGCCUUUUUCUCCAAAUGGAUUUAUUCGCUGUGAUACAGUAUAGCCAUAGAUUUGCAUUACACCACAACGUGGGCUGCACCUGCACAUAAAAGAGCACAUAGAUGAGGCAAGGCCUGAGAUUGAGAUGCUCUGAGGUGGGCUCUGGCAUGGGCCACCUUCUCCUGGUGAGAGUGGAGUAAAUCAUUUAAAUCUCCGGGUAAAUCAUUUUAAUAUGUGUGCCUCCCAGGGGAGCUGUGCUGGUUUGUUAUUAUAUAUAUUAAUCAUACUUUUAAAAAUACUUAUGAUACAAGAGUAAACAUGAACCAACGCUUUCAGUCUUGAUUUCUUCAGCCUGAAGAGAAAAAAUAUCUGUAUCCAACUUAGCCUUUGGACUAGUUAAUCAGAUAGAAAUUUGAAAGGGCUUUGAGAGAUUUGGGAUUUGAGAAAAGAAUCACAAGUACAAUGUAAGUGAUAUGAGAUGUGUAUAGCUAAACACGUACACACCUGCAAAACCCACCUGAGGAUGCGGAAUCUUUUUCAUUACUAUGGUAUUUUAGUUUUCACAUUUCAUGCAGAAACUGCUUUCCUGCUUAAUACUGAAAUAAACUUGAAACUAUCAGUGCUUGGUGAAUUUAAAUCACAAAAACCCACAUUGAAAAAAGUCUACCUUGGUAGGAAGGCUUUAGGAUAAGGAAAAAUUUCGUCUUAGUGCAAAAAAAAAUUAUUAUUGUAAUAGUGAGGUCACCUCAAAUUUGCAUAGCAUCUUUCCUCUGAAAGCUUAAUGCUUUUGCAUAUUCAUUUUCAUGUUAUUCUAAAGAAAAAGGUGACACGGGUAUGAAUAUGCUGGUCUUACAAAUGGAGAAAUGAAGGUAUCAGGGUGGGUUUCCUCGGGUGUUUCAUUGAUAGAUCUUCCCCAACUUUCUCUUGAGCCUUCUUUCCAGUAGAUGAUGCUGAGAGGAGGUGAGAAACAUUCCAAGAAACCAAGGCCAAUUUUUAGAUUAAGUGGAAAAAUAUUCAAUUCUCCCAUUUCAGCAGCAAACAAGUUUUGAGGAUCCCGUUUGGCUGCCGCCCUCGGUCCAUGUUUCAUCUCUCCCUUCUGCACGUCCAGCAACAGCUCUGACAACCCUGCAGUGACUAGCUGCAAGGAGCAGUGCCUCGUUGUGGUUGAACAAAUAACAUGUUUUGGAAACCCAAGCAACCCUUUCGUAGCUGGAAGCAGAGAGGGAGAGUGUGUUGGUCAGGAAGAUCCUGACAGGGUUUUAGCUCUUGGUGAGCUGGAAGGAGAUGGGCCAAAACAUGUCCUCUUUGACACCAUCAGAGAACGUUCUGCUGUAUGUAUUUUUUAAAUAGU
rnacentral:lncRNA from 1 species